UACGGAGGGUGCAAGCGUUAUCCGGAUUCACUGGGUUUAAAGGGUGCGUAGGUGGGCAGGUAAGUCAGUGGUGAAAUCUCCGGGCUUAACCCGGAAACUGCCAUUGAUACUAUCAGUCUUGAAUACCGUGGAGGUAAGCGGAAUAUGUCAUGUAGCGGUGAAAUGCUUAGAUAUGACAUAGAACACCGAUAGCGAAGGCAGCUUGCUACACAAUUAUUGACACUGAGGCACGAAAGCGUGGGGAUCAAACAGG
rnacentral:rRNA from 1 species